GUGUGAAUGCGUAAAUUAACAGAUUUAUUAAUUAAACGGAAUACUCAAAACUUUCAAAAUAGAACCGACAAAUAGAUUACAGUGGGUAACAUUAUGUCCUUUGGGGAUGAUGAGGCGUGUAUGACUAUUUGACCCUUCUUUCAGCUGCGUCCCCUACUCCGGCGGUGUGAAACGGACUUGAGAGCAAG